rnacentral:tRNA from 1 species
GGGGAUUUAGCUCAGUGGUAGAGCGCUUGCCUAGGAAGCGCAAGGCCCUGGGUUCAGUUCCCAGCUCUG